AUAGAAGAAGCAGACUCAGGUUUCCUACGCAGGAGAGAUGAUGCCAUUGCUCAUUGGAGAAGCAAAGGAAAAGGGAAAAAAAAGCAUCCUUUGUUUAGAAAAGACGGUGGCAUCAUCUCUCUGCGAAGGUAACAUGAAAGCAUUUGCUCUUUUG
rnacentral:pre_miRNA from 1 species